UGGGGAAUUUUUCGCAAUGGGCGCAAGCCUGACGAAGCAACGCCGCGUGGAGGAUGAAGGCCUUCGGGUCGUAAACUCCUGUCGACUGGGACGAAAGCAGCCUGGGCUAAUAUCCCGGGCUGUUGACUGUACCGGUGGAGGAAGCCACGGCUAACUCUGUGCCAGCAGCCGCGGUAAUACAGAGGUGGCAAGCGUUGUUCGGAAUUACUGGGCGUAAAGGGCGCGUAGGCGGCUCGACAAGUCCCGCGUGAAAGCCCCCGGCUCAACUGGGGAACUGCGCGGGAAACUGUCGGACUUGAGUUCGGGAGAGGGAAGCGGAAUUCCGGGUGUAGCGGUGAAAUGCGUAGAUAUCCGGAGGAACACCGGUGGCGAAGGCGGCUUCCUGGACCGACACUGACGCUGAGGCGCGAAAGCUAGGGGAGCAAACGGGAUUAGAUACCCCCGUAGUCC
rnacentral:rRNA from 1 species